rnacentral:tRNA from 1 species
GCCACCGUAGCUCAGUCGGUAGAGCAGCGGUUUUGUAAACCGCAGGUCGUCGGUUCGAGCCCGACCGGUGGCU